UGAGGAAUUUUCCACAAUGGGCGAAAGCCUGAUGGAGCAAUGCCGCGUGGAGGAAGAAGCACCGUGGUGUGUAAACUCCUUUUCUCAGAGAAGAAGUUCUGACGGUAUCUGAGGAAUAAGCUCCGGCUAACUCUGUG
rnacentral:rRNA from 1 species